AUUGAACGCUGGCGGCAGGCCUAACACAUGCAAGUCGAACGAGUGGCGGACGGGUGAGUAAUGUCUGGGAAACUGCCUUAUGGAGGGGGAUAACUACUGGAAACGGUAGCUAAUACCGCAUACCAUCAGAUGUGCCCAGAUGGGAUUAGCUAGUGGGUGGGGUAACGGCUCAACAAGGCCACGACCCCUAGCUGGUCUGAGAGGAUGACCAGCCACACUGGAACUGAGACACGGUCCAGACUCCUACGGGAGGCAGCAGUGGGGAAUAUUGCACAAGGGGCGCAAGCCUGAUGCAGCCAUGCCGCGUGUAUGAAGAAGGCCUUCGGGUUGUAAAGUACUUUCAGUCGGGAGGCGUUACCGACAGAAGAAGCACCGGCUAACUCCGUGCCAGCAGCCGCGGUAAUAC
rnacentral:rRNA from 1 species